rnacentral:tRNA from 2 species
GGCAAGAUGGCCGAGUGGUCUAAGGCGCUGUGUGUUAGCCGCAGUCUUCAGGGGCGUGGGUUCGAAUCCCACUCUUGUCA